rnacentral:misc_RNA from 1 species
GAUGAAGAACGUAGCGAAAUGCGAUACGAAAUGUGAAUUGCAGAAUUCAGUGAAUCAUCGAGUCUUUGAACGCACAUUGCGCCCCCUGGUAUUCCGGGGGGCAUGCCUGUCCGAGCGUCAUUGCUGCCCUCAAGCACGGCUUGUGUGUUGGGCCUCCGUCCUCCUCCCGGGGGACGGGCCCGAAAGGCAGCGGCGGCACCGCGUCCGGUCCUCGAGCGUAUGGGGCUUCGUCACCCGCUCUUGUAGGCCCGGCCGGCGCUUGCCGACACAUCAAUCUUUUUUCCAGGUUGACCUCGGAUCAGGUAGGGAUACCCGCUGAACUUAAGCAUAUCAAUAAGCGGAGGA